CAGGGAUGUCAUUUCAACCAACACAGGCACCACCACGACAUUUCGAAGAAACGCAAGGGGCCACACAAGAUAUCUUGGAGGCGAACUUCGAAGACUGGAGUCGGUUAUUUUCUACACCUAACCAGCAGGCCGAUCCUACCUUCCAGACACAUGUGGCCACCGGACGUCCAGGUAGAGAUGUAGGCCCUCCAGACCGACACACAUACCCUACAGACCACGUCCACGCACAGCGUAAAAGAGGUCGACAUGGCCGGGGUGGUUAGGAGGUGCUUCUAGUUGUUUCUUUAUUUUUGUUAUGAACAUGUCGUCAUGUUAUACUUAUUUCGUUCUUAUGCAUCACUUAUUUCAUUCUCAGUUGCGUAUGUGUAUGAAUUGCUAAGUUAUACUUUUCAUAUUCAUCUACUUUACUAACAGUUUUUAUUU